rnacentral:rRNA from 1 species
GGUAGGGGAGCGUACUGUACGGGUAGAAGGCCAAGCGGAAGCGAGGCUGGACUGUACAGUAGAGAGAAUGCCGGCAUGAGUAACGAGAGUAAGGUGAGAAACCUUACCGCCGGAAGCCUGAGGUUUCCUGGGGAAGGGUAAUCCACCCAGGGUAAGUCGGGGCCUAAGCCGAGGCUUAAAGCGUAGGCGAUGGGGAACCGGUAGAUAUUCCGGUACCACCGAGGGCCGCAAAGAGAUGCGGGGACGCAGCGAGAUAGGUGGAGCGUGCGGUUGGUAGGGCACGUUCAAUCAGGCACCGAAGGGUACGUAGGCAAAUCCGCGUACUGGCAGGGGUCUGAGAAGGGGAGCCGGAAGGCGAAGCCACCGAAGCAGCUGCCGAGAAAAGCCGCUAUCGAGGCCUGAGGUGCCCGUACUACAAACCGACACAGGUAGGCGAGGAGAGAAUCCACAGGCGAGCGGGAGAACCCUCAUUAAGGAACUCGGCAAAAUGACUCCGUAACUUCGGGAGAAGGAGUGCCGAAAGGCCGCAGAGAAGAGGCCCAAGCGACUGUUUACCAAAAACACAGGUCUCUGCUAAGUCGGAAGACGAAGUAUAGGGGCUGACGCCUGCCCGGUGCUGGAAGGUUAAGGGGAAGUGUGAGAGCACUGAACCGAAGCCCCAGUGAACGGCGGCCGUAACUAUAACGGUCCUAAGGUAGCGAAAUUCCUUGUCGGGUAAGUUCCGACCCGCACGAAAGGCGUAACGACUUGGGCGCUGUCUUGAUGAGGGGCCCGGUGAAAUUGUAGUACUCGUGAAGAUGCGAGUUACCCGCGAUUGGACAGAAAGACCCCGUGGAGCUUUACUGUAGCCUGUCACUGGAUUUUGGUAAUUCUUGUACAGGAUAGGUGGGAGACAGAGAAGGUAGGGCGCCAGCCUUACUGGAGUCGGCGUUGGGAUACCACCCUGGGAUUACCGGAAUUCUAACCUAUAGCCGUGAAACCGGCGUAGGGACAAUGGCAGGUGGGCAGUUUGACUGGGGCGGUCGCCUCCUAAAGGGUAACGGAGGCGCCCAAAGGUUACCUCAGCGCGGACGGGAAUCGCGCGAGAGAGUGCAAAGGCAGAAGGUAGCCUGACUGCGAGAGAGACAUCUCGAGCAGGGACGAAAGUCGGGCUUAGUGAUCCGGCGGCAGUGAGUGGGAACGCCGUCGCUCAACGGAUAAAAGCUACCCCGGGGAUAACAGGCUGAUCUCCCCCAAGAGUCCACAUCGACGGGGAGGUUUGGCACCUCGAUGUCGGCUCAUCGCAUCCUGGGGCUGAAGUAGGUCCCAAGGGUUGGGCUGUUCGCCCAUUAAAGCGGUACGCGAGCUGGGUUCAGAACGUCGUGAGACAGUUCGGUCCCUAUCCGUCGCGGGCGUAGGAAACUUGAGAGGCACUGCCCCUAGUACGAGAGGACCGGGGUGGACGAACCGAUGGUGUACCAGUUGCACCGCCAGGUGCACAGCUGGGUAGCCAAGUUCGGAAGGGAUAAACGCUGAAAGCAUCUAAGCGUGAAGCCCGCCUCAAGAUUAGGUUUCCCAUCCGAGAGGGGUAAGACACCUCGAAGACCACGAGGUAGAUAGGCCGGGGGUGUAAGAGUGGAAACACUCUUAGCUGACCGGUACUAAUCAGUCGAGGACUUGACCGA